UUCAAGGGCGUGACCGCUUAGAAUAAAACGGACGGAACCGUCUGACGCCCUCGGGAAUCAGUCGAACGAGGCGCGAACGCGUUCGAGUUCCAGAGCGUAAAAGUCUGGCUCGAGCGUCCAGUAGCGUUCGUAAGGCGCAUUUCUCGAGGGUUAGCGUCGCGACCGAUGCGAAAGGCUGGCGAGACUGUCGAGUUGAGGUCGAAUUCCCUCGCGGGUUUUCGCUACCAGCUCGGCGGUACCGAGUCGCCAGACCGCAGUAUGCAUCGAGCGUCAUCGAAAAGGGACUCUGGCGAAAAUUGGCGCUCGCUCCAACGGCGGAAACCGGGCCGGUCGUUCGACGCCGGCUCGCAGGCGCUCGUUUGAUUCGGUCUGGUACAAAGUCGUGGGCGACGUUCCAGCGUCCCGGCGUCCGCGACGUCCGAGUCGGUCACCCGUCCGACCCGUCUUGAAACACGGACCAAGGAGUCUAACGUACGCGCGAGCCAAUGGGUGGAAACCCCAUAGGCGGAAUAAAAGUAAAAGUCAUCUUUCGAUGGCUGAGGUACGAUCCCCGAUAGGGGCGCAGUACCGUCCCGUCCUGACCGCGCGUCGGUAGGGCGGAGACAGAGCGCCUGCGUUGGGACCCGAAAGAUGGUGAACUAUGCCUGAGCAGAGCGAAGCCAGAGGAAACUCUGGUGGAGGUUCGUAGCGGUUCUGACGUGCAAAUCGAUCGUCAG
rnacentral:rRNA from 1 species